CGGCCGCCGCUUUGCAAAGGACAGGCUCACCGGUGCUGGAGCUGGAGCGCCGCUUCUUGCGCCAGAAGUACCUGGCCUCGGCAGAGAGGGCGGCGCUGGCCAAGGCCCUGCGCAUGACGGACGCACAGGUCAAGACCUGGUUCCAGAACCGACGCACGAAGUGGCGGUGAGGUGCCGGGCGGGCGGAGUGGCGGGGAAGGGCUGGGUUGCCCGCUGACCCCGGCUCUCCGCCCGCCCAGGCGCCAGACAGCGGAGGAGCGCGAGGCCGAGCGGCAUCGCGCGGGUCGCCUGCUGCUGCACCUGCAGCAAGACGCGCUGCCCCGGCCGCUGCGACCACCGCUGCCACCGGACCCGCUCUGCCUGCACAACUCGUCACUCUUCGCGCUGCAGAAUCUACAGCCUUGGGCCGAGGACAACAAGGUGGCUUCAGUGUCGGGGCUCGCCUCGGUGGUGUGAGCUACGCCUGCCCGAUGAGCGAACGCCAUCGUGACUGGGUGCCGUGCCACCAGCGAAGCGUGAGGAGCGGAAAGCCUGCAGCUGUC
rnacentral:lncRNA from 1 species